CUACGGGAUGCACCAGUGGGGAAUAUUGGACAAUGGGCGAAAGCCUGAUCCAGCGACGUCACGUGAAUGAUGAAGGCCUUAGGGUUGUAAAAUUCUUUUAGUGGAGAAGAUAAUGACGGUAUCCACAGAAAAAGUCCCGGCUAACUUCGUGCCAGCAGCCGCGGUAAUACGAAGGGGGCAAGCGUUACUCGGAAUUAUUGGGCGUAAAGCGUGCGUAGGCGGUUUUAUAAGUUGAAAGUGAAAGCCCUUGGCUCAACCAAAGAAUUGCUUACAAAACUGUAAAACUAGAGUAUUAGAGAGGAUAGAAGAAUUCCUGAUGUAGGGGUGAAAUCCGUAGAUAUCAGGAGGAAUAUCGAAGGCGAAAGCAUCUGUCUGGCUAAAUACUGACGCUGUUGCACGAAAGCGUGGGGAGCAAACAGGAUUAGAUACCCGGGUAGUC
rnacentral:rRNA from 1 species